UCUUCCAUCACAGAAAGUAAGUGCUUUCACAAACCUGUGAGUUCCUCUCUCUCUCUCUCUCUCUCUCUCUCUCUCUCUCUCUCUCUCUCUCUCUCUCAUGGUUUGUUAAUAGUGGUUGAUUUCAAACGAAGUAGCAGAAGAAGGGAUAUGUUCCAAAGAUUUUUGCUCUUGGAUUCCAAGCACAAGUUUUGUUGAGAUUUCUGUUUUGACAAAGUUUGAGGGGAUGAAAAAAUCAAUUAAGGUAUGGGUAAAUUCAACAUUUUCAAAUUAGAUCGGAAAAAGAAAGAAAAUGUGUGUUUGUAAAUUUAUAAUUUUCAUAUCAAAUUUCUUGAUUGUUUUAAUAAAGGUUUUGUGCGGCUGUACAAUGGUGAUCGAAGUAUGCACUUCAUGUGGUUGAAGAAAUGAUGUCGUUGGGGGCCUGGGGUACUAUGUUGGUCACACUUUAGCAAGCAACUAAAAUACAACUUGCAGAGAUUGAGUUAAAUGAAAUUGGAUUGGUAGACCUACGUUAUAAUUCAUUCAUCACUUGGAAUAUCACUUGCCUAUUAGUAUGUUUUUUUUUAUCUAACUGUACCAAGAGUCCUUCUACACUUCUUUACAUGCAAGGAUGUUGCCUAAUCGUUAACUUGUGUACGCAUAAUUCAUAUGAUUAUGUGUGACAAUUGAAUAGUAGAACUAUUUUUGCCAUUGUUUCUGUGUAGACUAAUUUACAUUUCUCCAUCCUAUAACUAAUGCAAAAUAUCCUAGUUUCAAUUGGACUUUCACUUGAAUUUGAUAUCAAGGUGAGGCAGCAGUUUCAAAAGCUAUUGUUCCUAUGCUGCAGAUUGCUGGAACUGGUUGCUGCAGGGGCUAAUUACUGCAGACUUCCAAAACAACAACUGUGGAGCUGGGGCGCUGCUGACGUGUAUCGCUGAACUAGACUGAGAUGUGCAGUAAAGUGGGGUGUUGCAGACUCUGGACACCCAUUUGGCUUAGGUAUUUGGUUCUUUGCCUUAGUGUAGCUCAGGUGGAGUUGAGGAUCUCUCUCACCUCUGUCUUACUUGUUGACUUGAAUUUUGUAUGACCUUUAACAGAAUUUGGAGACAGAACGAUAUUGAUGGAAAUAUGUAGUGAUGGUCCAUGAAUUAGGUAUAUGUACUGUACCCUCACUUUUUACUGUACGACAACCUAUGUAUGUGGUAUUUGAUUGAAACGUACUUUCACUCUUUCUUACAGAUGAUGAAAUAGCAAACGUCUUUCUUGUGGGAUCAAUGUCUUUUGUGUUAAUUGGUAUGUGUUAACUUAUAUUCUACAUUUUGAUCCUUCAUGUCUCUUGUUUUCAGUUUCACAAAUUGGCAUGUGUAUAGUUUUGAUUUGAGAACUCUGUAUAGUUAAUAGGUGGGUAUUUGAUAAAAAUACACAUGAUGGGGCUUUGUGGGUACAGUAUAGACUAAACUUGUAGUUUACUUCAGUAGGCUAGUUUUAUCUUUUAAUUGGUUUUAUGGGUUAGUGCAGGACUUGGAAAAUGAAGGAAAGUUGUUAAUUUUUCGAAAUGCUUACACCGGCCAGUGGAUUAAUAUAUUAUUCCAAGUGAAGAAGUUGAAUAAGAAGAAUAUCGAUAGUUGGAUAAAAGAAUAGAUUGGGAGAGGAAUAAAGUUUUGAAAUUUUUGUUUAGAUUGAUGUAUCAAAUCUUGUUAGUAAGUUUUUUAGCCUAAAUAUCAGUCUAUUUGUGAAUCUUGUAAUUUUUUCUAAAUUAAGGAAAAAUAAUUCAUUGGAAGGUAUAUUUGUUAUAUUGAAUGGUAU
rnacentral:lncRNA from 1 species